rnacentral:lncRNA from 1 species
UCGGACCUGGGGGGGGGGGGGGAGGUAGGCGGGCAGAUAAAGUGUGGAGGAAAGGAUGACUUAGGGGAGAGGGGGAAGCCCUGGGAGAACAAAGCUCCGGGCCGUCGGCCUCCCAAGAGUCGCAGAAGUGACCGCCACGGGCUCGUGCACAGGCGGAAGCGGGGGGAGGGAGAGAGGCCGGGCCUAAAGCGCCCUCGCAGGUUUGGAAAACGCUGAGAGGGCACAGGGGGUGGGGAAAGUCGGAACCCGUAGCUAAAGGUUUGGCCCUCAGGCUAGUUUUUAAGGAAAUGGAUCUCAGGAAGGGGAGGAGGCACCACGCGCCCCGGAGAGGUAGGAGGGAGAAGCCCUGUCCCCCUCACCCCCCCCCCAACCCCCAGCUAGCAGAGCGUGUGCGGUGACCGACCUCCGCGCUCUGGACCAGGAGGGGGACGGAGCCGUCUGGCCGCCGCGGGCCUGUGCUUCCGCACCCCCCAGCUCUGCGCGUCGCCUGUCCCCGAGCGCCUCGCCUCCCAACUGUAAUCCCACACUCCCGCGAGCGCUGGGGCUGCGGAAUCGUUUGAGUUGGAACUGCAUCAGAUGAGAACGCCGGGAGACGCGAAAAUUGGACACGUGGAGACUGGGUGCAGACUCAAACAAUGGUUUCCAGCAGCGGAGCGAAAGGAGGCACCUUCCCAGCCUCCGCGCAUGGUCAAGCCAUCUCCUCCAGCAUGGCCGUGGUGCACUUCUGGCCGCAGAGCUCCUACGCUGCAGCCUGGGAGUCAGAAGCAAGCAAACCGGCCAGGACUGAGAAUUCAGAGGCCACGGGUGGCAGGUCAGCGGCGGCGCCCCAAAGAGAGACCCCAAGAGAGGCCUUUCUUCCACCGCAACCCCAGGGAGGCUACUGAGUUCUGCAAAGCCGCAGGAAGACUACAACAUCCCGAUGUGGAGAAAAAUGAGAGGAAACGCCAUUAA